GGAGAAAAAUCAGACACAAAGAGACAAAAAUAAAAUAAAGAUAAACGUCAACAUCAGUGCUAUGCUGGUUUGUGUACCAGUGUGAGGAAGAGGGUUAAAGAUCAGCUGGAGAAUCACGUGUGUGUGUGUGUGUGUGUGUGCGUGCGUGCAAUGAGAGCGUUGCCUCUCCAGAGACUCCUGCACGAUGAUCUGGAUAAAGACUAAAGACUGCUUAAGCGUAAACCUCAGUGACUGACAGGAGGGACAACUCUGCUUCCUGCGCUGCCUUAAGAGAUGGAAGUGAAUGUUGAAAUUAUGAAAACAAAUGUUUUUUUUUUUUUUUCCA